UCAUUCACCAUUCUCCCUUCUUAUGAAUUUGUCCAACGCAUGUUAUAUUAUACAAUUUUGGGUGCAACAAUUUAUCCUUUUAAAACCAAUCAUUUUCAAAAUGAAGGAGAGGGAUGAUCCCUUGCUUUCACCAGUUGGUGAUAGUGAACCUACUUUCAGAACAAUCCAUUUUCUCAAACUUGUUGUAAACUUUGUUGAUGGACAAUAUUUUAAGUUUAACAUAUUUUCAUUAUUAUCUUUUGUUUUUGAACUAAAGGAUCGGCAUGAAAAUUAACUUCACUGGAUGGCUCUACGAACAACAUCAACACCAUUUCAAGUAGAUCUCUCAUCCAUGGCAACAUAUCCAAAUUCAAAUGAUUUAUUCCUAUAGACAAGGUAAAUAAUAGAGAUUUGUUGUUUGAUAUAUUUUUUUCAAUAAUUUGCUCUUCUAAACAUAUAUUGAGUUUAUUCAUUUGAUUUUUCAAUUUUCAGCAUUUGCAGUUGACUGAAAUGUAUUCUAAUAUGUCAUUUCUUAUUUAAUGGUGAAACUUAACUAUGCAUGUUUUUUUUUUGCUCAAUCAUGUUAUAUAGUUAUGUAAAACCUAUUAGAUGUUUAUGCAUCAUAAAUAAGAUUGAACUUUAAAAUAUAAAAAUAGAUUCAAUGUUCCUUUCUAGAUAUAGAUACCAUGCAUCUCCAAUUCUAAACAUUGAUAACUUAAUAUCCUUUCUUGGUUUUAUUAUAAUGAUCAAAGGUUGGUAGUAUGUGUAUACCUAUAAGUAAGGGUGACUUUGCUAUUUAAAAUUCAUAUAGUUGGGAAAAAAAUAGCCCUACCCUUAUUUUAAACAAUAUAUUGAUGAUGUGGAACACUCAAAUAUACAUAUAAAUUAUUAUUUUCAUUUUACAUAAUUAAUUUCAAACAAUGAGAAUCGUUUUGGUUUUUCUCUACAUUCCUUAUUUAUAACAAAGUUAAAUAUAUAAAUGUUUCAAACCAUGUGGGAUAACAAAUGGAUGAAGAAUUUACAUUUCAUAAUUUAGAUUUUAAUUCUUGUUGCUAGAACUAUGACAUAUUAAAUCCUUAAUAGAUGUUUGCAAAUGUAUAGCUUUUAGGUCAGGGUUGCAUACAUAGCUAGACUAUGUUUAACUUUUCACUAUCAAUAUCCCUACUCUGAUGAAUAAAUAUUUAUUAUAAACAAAUAUUCAAUAGCAAAAUAGAUUUUCCACGUAAUACAACGAAUCUGUAGACAUGCACUGAAAAGUCAAAAUAUAUUCUUGUUUCUGUCAUAUAUGUUAAUUUAGGAAGGCGGUUGAAGUGUUGAUAAUGUUAACAAUGAUGUUGGUGACGAUGAUAAUAAAGAUCCUAUAUAUAAUUACAAUGGUGUCUUUAUCAUUACUCUAAAAAAGAAGGUAAUUUAUAUUUGAUUUCCUAUACUUUAAUUUUCUCAACUUAAAUCUUUCCUCACUUCACCUUUUUUGAAUUAUAU
rnacentral:lncRNA from 1 species